UACAGAGGGUGCGAGCGUUAAUCGGAAUUACUGGGCGUAAAGCGCGCGUAGGCGGCUUUGCAAGUCGGGUGUGAAAUCCCCAGGCUCAACCUGGGAACUGCAUUCGAGACUGCAUUGCUAGAGUAUGGGAGAGGGAAGUGGAAUUCCCGGUGUAGCGGUGAAAUGCGCAGAUAUCGGGAAGAACACCCGUGGCGAAGGCGGCUCUCUGGGACGGUACUGACGCUGAGACGCGAAAGCGUGGGGAGCGAACAGG
rnacentral:rRNA from 1 species